rnacentral:rRNA from 1 species
CAGCAGCCACGGUAAUACAGAGGGUGCGAGCGUUAAUCGGAUUUACUGGGCGUAAAGCGUGCGUAGGCGGCUUCUUAAGUCGGAUGUGAAAUCCCUGAGCUUAACUUAGGAAUUGCAUUCGAUACUGGGAAGCUAGAGUAUGGGAGAGGAUGGUAGAAUUCCAGGUGUAGCGGUGAAAUGCGUAGAGAUCUGGAGGAAUACCGAUGGCGAAGGCAGCCAUCUUGCCUAAUACUGACGCUGAGGUACGAAAGCAUGGGGAGCAAACAGGAUUAGAUACCCCAGUAGUCCCUGUCUCUUAUAC